UUUUGAAGAAAAUCAUAUCUAUCUUUAUGCAACCGACAAGUCAAACACGUUCUUCUCCCUGACCUCUUUUGGGACACGGUACUAGAACAUCACAACAAAAAGCAGCCAAUAAAAAAGAAAAUCCUUUCAUGUCCUAACAGAUUGAAGAUACUAGAACUAUCAUCAUCUGAGCUAGAGAUUGGAUACUGCCCCACAGAGAGGUCAAUGUGAAAAGAAAAACCACCGUUGCCAUCUGUUCUCGCAUUACUGCGGUAUCCAGUAUCUUCCAAAGAAAUUUGCUUUUAAUUAGUAAUACAUUCUGAAAA